AGAUUGAACGCUGGCGGCAUGCCUUACACAUGCAAGUCGAACGGCAGCACGGGAGCAAUCCUGGUGGCGAGUGGCGAACGGGUGAGUAAUACAUCGGAACGUGCCCAAUCGUGGGGGAUAACGCAGCGAAAGCUGUGCUAAUACCGCAUAAGAUCUACGGAUGAAAGCAGGGGAUCGCAAGACCUUGCGCGAAUGGAGCGGCCGAUGGCAGAUUAGGUAGUUGGUGAGGUAAAGGCUCACCAAGCCUUCGAUCUGUAGCUGGUCUGAGAGGACGACCAGCCACACUGGGACUGAGACACGGCCCAGACUCCUACGGGAGGCAGCAGUGGGGAAUUUUGGACAAUGGGCGAAAGCCUGAUCCAGCCAUGCCGCGUGCAGGAUGAAGGCCUUCGGUUGUAACUGCUUUUGUACGGAACGAAAAGUCGUCUUUACUAAUAAAGAGGAAUCAUGACGGUACCGUAAGAAUAAGCAACCGGCUAACUAACG
rnacentral:rRNA from 1 species